UACGUAGGGUGCGAGCGUUGUCCGGAAUUACUGGGCGUAAAGAGCUCGUAGGUGGUUUGUCGCGUUGUUCGUGAAAACUCACAACUCAAUUGUGGGCGUGCGGGCGAUACGGGCAGACUGGAGUACUGCAGGGGAGACUGGAAUUCCUGGUGUAGCGGUGGAAUGCGCAGAUAUCAGGAGGAACACCGGUGGCGAGGGCGGGUCUCUGGGCCGAUACUGACGCUGAGGAGCGAAAGCGUGGGGAGCGAACAGG
rnacentral:rRNA from 1 species